rnacentral:tRNA from 1 species
AUCUUUCUAGUAUAGCACGAGUAUGGGUGACUUCCAAUCACCAAGCCCUGGUGAAACCCCAGGGAAAGAUA